GGUUCCCUGGUCUAAAGGUAAGGAUACCGGCCUUUCAAGCCGGAGAUACUGGGUUCAAGUCCCGUGGGAACUA
rnacentral:tRNA from 1 species